UUUUGUCAUAAAACGUGAUUCUCAAGCAUUUUUGAAAAAAAGAUUAAAAAUUGCAUGUCCCAACUAAACGUUUCAUAGCACGAAACACACGUCUAAUAUAAAAUAAAUUUAAAUUAAUAUUUUGGAACAUUCAUAUUCCGAAGUUGAGUGUUUUCAGAUCAUCGAUCAUAGAGAUCCUCAUCAUGUGUUCAACACAUCGAUUUAAAUUUUUCUACAAGUGGACAAAGGAGCUUAAAUAAAUCUUCUGGUAUAUUCUCGCGUGAUACAUCAUUGUACACUCUUUGUUUGAUUUUAAAGGAAUAAUAAUAAUGAUUACGUAAUAAUAAUACGCGACGAUUUGAAGAUGCAAAAUACCACUGUUCACAAUCAGCGUUCAAAGUAAUAAGACACAAUAGCCAAAUGAAGUUAGUAUCCUAUACAUAAAAAAAAUGUUUGGCGUUUUGUCAAAAUACACAUUACAUUUAUAUAAAUACAAAAAAGUUCCUGUAUUCAGCAUCUUUUAUUUAUGCAGUAUCGAAACAUUUAUUUAUUAGUUAAGAGGGUUAUAAACUUUUACAACUUUUUUGUUAAUAAAUAACAAGUACUUACACAAUAAAAAAUUGUUUUUGAC